rnacentral:rRNA from 1 species
ACUCUGUUGCCUCCGGGGCGACCCUGCCUUCGGGCGGGGGCUCCGGGUGGACACUUCAAACUCUUGCGUAACUUUGCAGUCUGAGUAAACUUAAUUAAUAAAUUAAAACUUUUAACAACGGAUCUCUUGGUUCUGGCAUCGAUGAAGAACGCAGCGAAAUGCGAUAAGUAAUGUGAAUUGCAGAAUUCAGUGAAUCAUCGAAUCUUUGAACGCACAUUGCGCCCCCUGGUAUUCCGGGGGGCAUGCCUGUUCGAGCGUCAUUUCACCACUCAAGCCUCGCUUGGUAUUGGGCAACGCGGUCCGCCGCGUGCCUCAAAUCGACCGGCUGGGUCUUCUGUCCCCUAAGCGUUGUGGAAACUAUUCGCUAAAGGGUGCUCGGGAGGCUACGCCGUAAAACAAACCCAUUUCUAAGGUUGACCUCGGAUCAGGUAGGGAUACCCGCUGAACUUAAGCAUAUC